AACGUCGAGGAAAAAGUCACGGACCGAGGCCGAAGAGGGAGUUUCGCUGAUGUCGGGUAGCGCACAGCACCAAGUAUGCGCUUGCUCCUGAAACUUCGCAAUCCUUUCGGCUCUUCUCUCAGCAUCGCCUCACUCUCUUUGCAGCGGUUCUCUUCCACCCUCACCUAUGUAGCGGAGGAUAAGAAAGCGGAAGCUUCAGAGAGCUUCGUUCACCCUUCUGCAAUUGUUCACCCCAAUGCUGUCAUCGGACGGGGUGUUUCAAUUGGUCCUUUCUGUACCGUUGGAUCCUCUGCAAGGCUUGGAAAUGGCUGCGAAUUAUAUCCCGGGAGCCAUAUAUCGGGUAACUCGGAAUUGGGGGAGCGUUGCAUCUUAAUGACGCAGUGGUGCUGUGGUUGGUGAUGAUUUUCCAGGACGUACAGUCAUUGGAUGCAAUAACAUUAUAGGGCAUCAUGCCGUGGUUGGUAUUAAGUGCCAAGACUUGAAGUACAAGUCAGGGGAUGAGUGUUUCCUUGAUAUUGGGGACAACAAUGACAUCAGAGAGCAUACCUCAAUUCAUCGAUCUUCAAUGUCAAGUGAUCAAACGGUAAUUGGUGAUAACAAUCUUAUUAUGGGAUCCUGUCAUAUUGCCCAUGAUUGCAAGAUUGGUAACAACAACAUCUUUGCAAAUAAUACUCUCCUUGCAGGCCAUGUUGUGGUGGAAGACUAUGUUCACACUGCUGGUGCCAUCGUUGUUCAUCAAUUCUGCAGUGUUGGUUCUUUCUCUUUUAUUGGUGGGGGUUCUGUGGUUUCCCAAGAUGUCCCGAAGUAUGUGAUGGUUGCUGGUGAAAGAGCUGAGCUUCGUGGCUUAAAUCUGGAGGGUCUUCGGCGUCGUGGAUUCACAGUUACAGAGGUUCCCUUAAAGUAGCAUUACAAUUCAGGGUUUAAAGUUAUGAGUAGAUAUUGCUUAUGUGUUUGUUUGAAAAGAGCUGAUUUAUUCCUUUUGGAAAAUGAUUUAGAUAAAUAGCCUGAGAAUGGCUUAUCGAAAGAUAUUCAUGCCUAUCGAUGCAAAGUCAAAUGGUUUUGAAGAGCGUCUUGCUGAAGUGGAGCAGCAUGAGGACUUGUCUCGUAUUCCUGCUGUUUGUUCCAUGGUGCGGUCUAUUCGUGACUCUCUUGCAGAAAGUCGACGCGGAAUAUGCAAGUUCAGACAUUGGAGUGGCUCUUGAAAGCAUGCUGUAGCGAGUUAUGGUUUCUUCUUCGGUCCCUUCCCAAUGGUGCAGGAGAACUUUCAUAGUCCUAAACCUAGUCUAAGUUAUUUUGUAGUUUAAACAAUUCUUUUGGCUGAUGUUGUUAUAAAGGUUAAAUUGGUCGCCAUUCAGCUUAUCUUUUAGAAGAAUGUUUGUAUUAGUUGAGGCUGUAAUAUGGAGAGGGAAGUUGGUGAUGCAAAUAUAUUAGGUAGAAUCGGAUUAGAACAGAAGAAAGCAAUGUAACGAUAUGAAUUAUGCCAAAGCAUAUGUAUUUCGUGUGAC